rnacentral:tRNA from 1 species
GGGGGAUAGCUCUGGUGAGCGGCUUCGCCUUAUAAGCGAGGGGACCAGAUUAGUCUAGACGGCUGGGAUCAUAACCCAGAUCCCCUACCA